CGGGAACGCGCGUUCGUGUCGGUGAAGCUGGUCGAAUAUGCGCCUGGUGGCCUGGCGAAGAUGGUGAGAUAUGCGUCGGCGCCUCUGAAGUUGUGUUUCGGAUGGGCGCACUCUUUAUAUAGAUACCAAUGCGAGGAUUAUCGACAAGUGUUAGACGGAUACGUUUGCGCAGUGUGUGGUGUUAUAUGUGUAAAUGUGGACAUGCGUAAAAAAUAAAUAAGGAUGUGGCCGGCGUAUGUUGAUAUACGCUCAAGUGCAUAGGCAUAUGCCGGUGGCAAGAUUACUUAUUGGUGGAAUUUUUUCGUGAAUUCCAUAAACGCAGGCGCCACGCGUGGGCUAUUGUGUAUGCCAAAGAAACGUUGGCAGAUUUUAUUUGUUUUAAAUUUGGAGUCGUGGAUCGACAGCCACGUUACGUGAAUUGUGUUAGUAGAAUAAGUAUUUAUGUACGGAUGGAAAAUAUAUGUGUAUAAUAAUAUGCUUAUUUAGUAUAUGUAUGAAUUAAUAUAUGUAUAUGAGUGAUAUAUGUAUGUGCCUUUUGAUGGUUGCAAAAAUAUAUGCACUUGUGUAUGCUGAUAUGUGAGUGUUUAAUUCCAAAUUUAUUGUUGCAUGUGAGGUUCAUAUGGUGUUGUAUAUGUACAUAUGUGCAUAUGUACGUUUACUGUUAAGGAGACGGCGAUUACAAAUGCAAAUUAAUGCGGAUGGACGGAUUUAUUAAAUUUGUUUUUAAUAAUGUGUUGCAAUUGUGUUUUAUGUUGCGGUACCUGCCGUUGGCAAGCCGUUUUGGUUGCAGACAAGCUGCCUUAUAGGAGGCGCGAAGGAUGGAAAAUCACUUCCGCAGUGGCUGGUUUGAGCCCUUGGAUAGGGAACGGAAAGCUUGAUGCUAAUUCCGUUUUGGGGGUCGGCGGACAGACCGACAGAACAAAUGGCGGAAUCCAACGGUGCCAAGAACAAGCUGGGGCGAACGGAUGAGAUCUGCACGAUGCUUAUGUUGUGGUAGGAGGUGCAGCAUCCGGCUCGAAGGACCAUGUAUUGGAGUAGGGCGUCGGUUGGGUUAAUUCCUUGUGUUUAAAAAUGGCGGCGUAAGAAAAACCUUGCACUUUUCGUUUUUCCUCUGUUCACUUUUCAGAUUAUGCCGUCUCACCAGUAAAGCGCUUACAAACUAAUUCGACUAUUGGGGAGAGAGGCAGCGAA